GUGCUAAGGUAGCAUAGUCAUUUGUCUCUUAAUUAGGGAAUGGAAUGAAGGGUUUAACAAUAAAUAUCUGUGUUGUUUUUUUUAUUAGAAUUUAUAUUUAAUGUAAAAAUACGUUAAUAGUUUAAUGGGACGAUAAGACCCUAGAAGCUUUAUAUUAGGUUUCUAUUAAAUUUUAUUUAGUUUUUAGAUUAUAAUGAUAUUUAACUGGGGUAGUUAAACUUUUAAUAUAAGUUUUGAAAUAUAUUUAGAGUUUUUAGAUCCUUUACAUAAAGAUAUAGGGUAUUAGUUACUCUAGGGAUAACAGCGUAAUGAUUUUGGUGAGAUCUUAUUUAUAAAAUUGAU
rnacentral:rRNA from 1 species